rnacentral:sRNA from 14 species
GUCAACCACCCAUCACUUCCCUUUGGGUAAGUGAGGGCUUGUAAAAGCCUAGUUGACCAGACUCACUUCUUAACCAAACUACCUUAGAGGUAAGAGUUAAACAGGCUUAAGGGUUAAACCAGUGCUUUUAA